UUUCAUUCUUAAGAGUAUCAUUGGAGGGCAGUCUGGUGCCAGCAGCCGCGGUAAUUCCAGCUCCAAUAGCGUAUAUUAAAAUUGUUGCAGUUAAAAAGCUCGUAGUUGAAUUUCUGCUGCAUCGUCGCAUCUCUUGCUGAGUGCUUCGUUUCGGCUUAUUUCGGAUUGAUUUUUUCUUUCCGGAUGAUUACUUUGAGAAAAUUAGAGUGCUCAAAGCAGGCUUUUGCCUUGAAUAGUUUAGCAUGGAAUAAUAAAGUAGGACUUUGGUUCUAUUUUGUUGGUUUUAGGUACCAAAGUAAUGGUUAAUAGGAACAGUUGGGGGCAUUCGUAUUUAACUGUCAGAGGUGAAAUUCUUAGAUUUGUUAAAGACGAACUACUGCGAAAGCAUUUGCCAAGGAUGUUUUCAUUAAUCAAGAACGAAAGUUAGGGGAUCGAAGACGAUCAGAUACCGUCGUAGUCCUA
rnacentral:rRNA from 1 species